CCCCCAAAAUCCCCUUUUAAUCCCCCAAACCGCCUCUUGAAUCCCCAAAAAUCCACUCCAAAUUCCAAAUAAACACCUUUUAUUCACGGAAUUUCAUGUCCAGACCCAAAUUUCCUCCUUUUUUUUAAACCAAUUUUCCAAUUUCUUUUUCCCCAGUUUUUCCCUCAUUUUUUCCCCCCUGAUUUCCUCUCCUUUUCUUUCCCUCUUUUCCCCCCUUUUUUCCCAUUUCCCUUCAUUUUUUCCUCGUUUCCCCCUCCUUUUCCCCCCAGUUUUUUCCUUUUUUCCUCAUAUUUUCCCCCAUUUUCUCCUAAUUUUUCCUCGUUUUUUUCCCUCUUUUUUCCCACUUUUCCCCUCAUUUUCUUUCCCUCUUUGCCCUCAUUUCCCCCUUUUUCCCCAUUCAUUUUUUCCCAUUUUCCCCGUUUUUUCCCCCAUUUUCCCCUCAUUUUUCCCCUUCAUUUCCCCCUUUUUUCCAGUUUUUCCCUCACUUUUUCCCUUUUCCCCCCUUUAUUUUCCCCCUCUUUUUUCCCCGUUUUCCCUCAUUUUCCCCCAUUUUUUCCCUCAUUUUUUCCCCUUUUUUUCCCCCAGUUUUUCCCUAAUUUUUUCUCUUCCCCCCCUUUAUUCCCCCCUCUUUUUUCCCAAUUUUUCCCCCAUUUUCCCCCAGUUUUUCCCUCAUUUUUCCCCUGGUUUUUUCCCCAAUUUUUCCCUCAUUUCCCCCCAAUUUUUUCCCAUUUCCCCUCAUUUCCCCCCAAACUCCACUCACUCACUCCAAAGCACAAAAACCUCCAUUUUUAUUCCGGCAAUUCCCCAAAUUUCCUUUUUUCCCCUUUUUUCCCUCUUUUUCCUUCUUUUUUCCGUUUCCCCUCAUUUUUUCCCUGCUUUCCCCUCAUUUUCUUUCCCUAUUUUUUCCCAUUUUCCCCUUUAUUUGUCCCCUUCUUCCCAGUUUUUCCCUCAAUUUUCCCCUGAUUUUCCCUCAUUUUCUCUCCCUUCUCCCCCUUUUUUUCCUCAUUUUCCCCCUUUUUUCUCAGUUUUACCCUCAUUUUUCCCCCUUUUUUCCCCCAGUUUUUCUUUUUUCCCCCUUCUUUUUUUUUUUCCCAGUUUUCCCCUCAUUUUUUCUCAUUUUCCCCCGUUUUUCCCCCC
rnacentral:lncRNA from 1 species